AGCGGCGGACGGGUGAGUAACGCGUGGGUAACCUGCCCUGUACACACGGAUAACAUACCGAAAGGUAUGCUAAUACGAGAUAAUAUACUUUUAUCGCAUGGUAGAAGUAUCAAAGCUUUUGCGGUACAGGAUGGACCCGCGUCUGAUUAGCUAGUUGGUAAGGUAACGGCUUACCAAGGCGACGAUCAGUAGCCGACCUGAGAGGGUGAUCGGCCACAUUGGAACUGAGACACGGUCCAAACUCCUACGGGAGGCAGCAGUGGGGAAUAUUGCACAAUGGGCGAAAGCCUGAUGCAGCAACACCGCGUGAGCGAUGAAGGCCUUCGGGUCGUAAAGCUCUGUCCUCAAGGAAGAUAAUGACGGUACUUGAGGAGGAAGCCCCGGCUAACUACGUGCCAGCAGCCGCGGUAAUACGUAGGGGGCUAGCGUUAUCCGGAAUUACUGGGCGUAAAGGGUGCGUAGGUGGUUUCUUAAGUCAGAGGUGAAAGGCUACGGCUCAACCGUAGUAAGCCUUUGAAACUGGGAAACUUGAGUGCAGGAGAGGAGAGUGGAAUUCCUAGUGUAGCGGUGAAAUGCGUAGAUAUUAGGAGGAACACCAGUUGCGAAGGCGGCUCUCUGGACUGUAACUGACACUGAGGCACGAAAGCGUGGGGAGCAAACAGGAUUAGAUACCCUGGUAGUCCACGCCGUAAACGAUGAGUACUAGCUGU
rnacentral:rRNA from 1 species